rnacentral:rRNA from 1 species
AUGACGGACAAUGAAGUUGAUAGGUUCAGCAAGUUGCCUGAUGACAUUUUGCUCAACAUUGUCGAGCGACUUGAUAUCACCGACGUCGCAAGAACCACCAUCCUAUCCAGGCGCUGGAAGCAGAUCCCUGCCAUGCUCUCAAAAAUUAUCAUAACGGUCGGUUCUUUUGAGCCCAAGCGCGGAAGAGGGACAAAAUUAACCUCACAUGAUAUAGCUCGGGCCAACACCACCGUGCUAGAAGCAACCAGGAGCAUACUGGAAAGCAGGACCAGAAGGCUAUACACCAUUCACCUAAUGUCCAUGCAAUUCUAUCUGGGAGAUGACUCCAUCUUCAUUGGCCAGACUGUUGCCAACACCAUAGCAACACAAAAAGUUGCUUCGGUUGAGUUCGUAAUCUUAACCGAAGUGUGUACCAAUUGUUACGUUGAUGACCUGCUCAGUUAUGGGAAGCGGUUCAUGGUAUUCUUUGAUUCAUGUCCAAACGCAUUUGGUGGUCUUGCACGCCUCUGGCUAGAGAAUUUGAGGUUAGGCGAAUCAGACUUCCCCAAAAUUUUCAGUAUAUGCAAGCAACUAGAGUUCUUGCGCCUCUAG